rnacentral:rRNA from 1 species
CGGAUCCGCGCCGCUGCAGAGUUUGAUCCUGGCUCAGGACGAACGCUGGCGGCGUGCCUAACACAUGCAAGUCGAGCGGGGAUACAUUGGAUGAGAGCUUCGGCAGGAUUCGGGUGUAUUCUAGCGGCGGACGGGUGAGUAACGCGUGAGCAAUCUGUCUCAGACAGGGGGAUAACGCAGCGAAAGUUGCACUAAUACCGCAUAAGACCACAGCCCCGCAUGGGGGAGGGGUCAAAGGAGCAAUCCGGUCUGAGGUGAGCUCGCGUCCUAUUAGGUAGUUGGUGAGGUAACGGCCCACCAAGCCUGCGAUAGGUAGCCGACCUGAGAGGGUGAUCGGCCACACUGGAACUGAGACACGGUCCAGACUCCUACGGGAGGCAGCAGUGGGGAAUAUUGGGCAAUGGGGGAAACCCUGACCCAGCAACGCCGCGUGAGUGAAGAAGGUCCUAUGGAUUGUAAAUCUCUGUCCUAAGAGAAGAGGGGAAGACGGUAUCUUAGGAGGAAGCCCCGGCUAACUACGUGCCAGCAGCCGCGGUAAUACGUAGGGGGCGAGCGUUGUCCGGAAUGAUUGGGCGUAAAGGGCGUGUAGGCGGCUUUGUAAGUCUGGAGUGAAAGUCCUGUUUUUAAGAUGGGAAUUGCUUUGGAUACUGCAGGGCUUGAGUGCAGGAGAGGUUAUCGGAAUUCCCGGUGUAGCGGUGAAAUGCGUAGAGAUCGGGAGGAACACCAGUGGGCGAAGGCGGGUAACUGGACUGCAACUGACGCUGAGGCGCGAAAGUGUGGGGAGCAAACAGGAUUAGAUACCCUGGUAGUCCACACUGUAAACGAUGAAUGCUAGGUGUAGGGGGGUAUCGACCCCUUCUGUGCCGCAGUAAACACAAUAAGCAUUCCGCCUGGGGAGUACGGCCGCAAGGUUGAAACUCAAAGGAAUUGACGGGGGCCCGCACAAGCAGCGGAGCAUGUGGUUUAAUUCGACGCAACGCGAAGAACCUUACCAGGUCUUGACAUCCAGUAAAACUUGCAGAGAUGCAUCGUGAGCUUGCUCAUACUGAGACAGGUGGUGCAUGGUUGUCGUCAGCUCGUGUCGUGAGAUGUUGGGUUAAGUCCCGCAACGAGCGCAACCCUUGCUGAUAGUUACUAACACGUGAUGGUGAGGACUCUAUCAGGACUGCCGGGGACAACUCGGAGGAAGGUGGGGAUGACGUCAAAUCAUCAUGCCCCUUAUGGCCUGGGCUACACACGUGCUACAAUGGCCGUUACAAAGAGGUGCGAAGCCGUAAGGCGGAGCAGUUCUCAAAAAAGCGGUCUCAGUUCGGAUUGUGGGCUGCAACCCGCCCACAUGAAGUCGGAGUUGCUAGUAAUCG